UACAGAGGUCUCAAGCGUUGUUCGGAUUCAUUGGGCGUAAAGGGCGCGUAGGCGGCGGGGUAAGUCGGGUGUGAAAUCUCAGGGCUCACCUGAACUGCACUCGAUACUGCUCUGACUUGAGGACUGGAGAGGAGACUGGAAUUCGACGGUGAUAGCAGUGAAAUGCGUAGAGAGUCGUGAGGGAAGACCAGUGGCGGAAACGGCGGGAUCGUUCUGG
rnacentral:rRNA from 1 species